GUUACGAAGGUACAAUUUACUUUGCUUGCAGAUCAUAGGGUAGAGUCGACCAAGUAUGAACGCGGCUUCGGUCGCGUACUUACCUAAUGUGAGGCUCGAAUGUCAUCGCCCUGCUUAAGCACAUACCCUUAGAAGCCCGCGGUAUGGGCUGGCUAAAGAUUUUUAUGGCGGGAAUGAAGUUACUGCACCUAAUUGAUGACGAGAAAUGCGCCACGUAGGGCACCGGUGACCAACAUGGCAGUCCAAGGGUUAAAAAUUAGUUUGCACACCCAAUAAAACAUAACUACGUAAUUACAUCAAGUUUGCCAGCAUCGAAUUUUUUUUUUAAUACACAGGCGGUUUAUGGAAUAAAAGAAACAAUAUCAAACUUUUAUUUAUUUUUAUUAUCUAUAUCCAAUUGUAAAAGGGGGAACCAGUCACUCUAUCACUCCGUGUCACUACGUAGCUACAGAUCUCAGCCAUUUACACAUUUAUAAAGAAAAAACAUCAACCGAAAUUACGUUUAAAAAUUCACAAAUACACAUUUAAUGUUGAUUACAAACUAACUUAAACACUAUUCGGUUUGAACAAAACGGGAGGCGUCAUCACGUCAAAACAACAUGUUUGGACGUUUUUUCUUCAUAAUAACGAUAGUAUUGGCGAUAGAAUAAGGACCGUACGCGAUUCAUACCAAUGUAUGUCUUGACGAUACAAAACAUUGAUAGAAAUCGUUGUUUUCAAUGCGUUUUAAAACAGAGAUGGUCGAACGGAAAGAUCUGUGUUUGUAAACGCAUUUAUUAGCGUCUCGUUGUGCUCAAACCCGACUUAUACGUUACUGCUCAUCCACGGCAAUGCGACGGCCACAAAUAUAAAAAUGCAGUGAGAGCACCUACUUACUGUUGAAGCGGAACAAAGGGCUGUUUUGAAAACUAAUGAUCUGACAGUUACACGAUCGUAUUCGAAAUUUAAAUAAUUCAACUGUCAUUCGGCUCGUUUCUAUUGUACUCGGAAAGAUGUUUUUUUUUAUUGCCCUUGUAGGCAAACGAGCAUACGGCCCACCUGAUGGUGAGUGGUCACCGUCGCCCAUGGACUCCAGCAAUGCCAGGGGCAGAGCCAAGCCGCUGCCUACCACCACCCGAUUCUAGGUGGAGUUCAUAGUCACCACAAUCGAAUGCCCCAUCCCCACUCUAGGGACACAAGUUCCAACUUGAGGGUAUCCGGUGUUACUCUAUGAAUGAACAUAACAAUUUUUGUGAGAAAAUUAUUUGUUGUCUUUCUGAAACGAUACUACUUCUGGUAAAUUUUUUACUUACAUUACUUUACUAUUCUAUUGCACUAUUUUCUUCAUUCAAUUAACAAGGCUCAUUUGAACACAAUGCUUAGUUAUGCUAACUUAUACCAACAAAAAUGUACAAUUUAGAAAAAUCAUUUUAAUAAUCAAAUAAUCAAAAAUGCGUUUAUUUGGCAAAUACUUAAUACUUUCCCACAAAUUCGAGAUGCACACAGGAAACAAAGUCUGAGCCAUAACAUUCCGUGUUACCAAUAUUAACAAGCUUCAAAUGAAGUCCUGUUUAUUUUAAUGUGAAUUUACAAACAGCCCUAUUAUGAUAACCAUGCAAAUUAUGUGUAUUUAUUUACACAUCUUAAAUUUACAUCUUAAUUCGAUAGCUAGACAGACCUCUCGCGAUAGUGUCAGACUGCGUGAAAUAUUCUAAAUACGAUGAAAAGGAAACCAAAGUUACUUCCGAAAUUACAAACAGAUUAAAAGAUAAAACGCAAUGUUUAUCAUUAAAAUCAGACCGUAAUAAGAAAAUACAACUUUUACAUUUAGUACAAUUUUGAAAAAUAUCACUUUAUCGUGUAAAUUACAUUAUUAUAAUUUCUACUUUUUAUUUAAUUAUGUAGUGGAUUAUUUUAUGUCUUAUACAUAUUCUUUAUAAUGACGUACAGUUACUGAUAUUUUAUUCGUAAUAACGAAGAAAAAAAAAACCAUUUUUUGUCGUUUACGUCAUGUUAAUUUUACAAAAAAAAAAAUUUUAGAAAAACAAUUACUUUUCAACAAAUUAAAAAAAAAAAACAGGCACAGUUAAAAAUAAAGCAUCCCUUACACAUCUAAAAUUGUUUAAUUUUAAACUUAGUCUAAGGGAAUUAUAUACCUAUAACAUAAAAUUACAACCCAUGCUGCGUCGAACUGAAUACAUAAAAAGUAUUGUAUUAAAAAAAAUUAAAGUUCGUAUCAACAAAAAAGAACGUUUAGAAUUAUAAUGUGUAAAAACUGCGUCGACGCCAGUACGGGAUCAAUUAAUCUAAUUUUCGUUUGGAGUGGUGUUUCUUACUAGAUGUGUAGGAUGCGGCCGGGCUCGUCGCUCACGAUGAUAUAAGCUGAAAAUAACAGUCUUUAAGAAUCCUCAAUAAUCAUGUUAUAAAAUUAAUUAAAUACAGAUCUCAAUUUCGAAAUUUUGUUUCAUCAAUAUAUCGAGCACAAGUUACAAUAUAUGGGCCAAUCAAUACUCAUAAUCCAAUAAAACAAUUUGAAACUAUAUAUAUUUUAAUUUAUUGUAAAUAAAAUCCAAUUUAAAGUGUUAUUGGUACAUGAAAAACAGUAUUCAAUUUAUAAAUGUAUUUGUAAAACAAAAACUUGAGGAAAACAUGCAAAAUAAAAUAAGCAAAAAAGUCUACCUUGUAAAGUAAAGCGGGUGUCUAUCCGUUCCACUUCAUUUUAUUGUUUUUUUUUUUUUAUUAUUAUUUUUAAUUAAACUUUUAUUUUCAUAAUAUAUUAUUAUUGUAAUAAUAUAUAACUAUGUCCUUUAUAAACUAUAGGUAUACUAUGUAGACAUCUACACUGCUCCCUUAACUCCUAACAUCUUAAAUACACUGCAACAAACAAAACAAAAUAAAAAUAAAUAAAGUUUUCAAACAUGCAUAUUAUGUGGUAGCGAAUGACAUCUAGGUCAUAUGGAACAAUUAAAUUAAAUAUAGAUUUAUAUGUUUAGCUAUAAUUCAAAAGACAAUGAGUAAACCUUGUUCGGUUACCAUAGAAACCUAUUGUAACUGCAAUAGCUCUGACCCAGCACUGUACGUUUAUGAUAUAAACAUGCAAAACAAUAAUAAUUUGACAAAGUUUGAACGGUCGACAAUAAAGCAUGUGUGCCGUGCGUGUUACAGAGGUCGUGUAAUAUAUAUAAUAAUAUAACUCUUUAUUUAACACCACAUGUACAGAAAAAACUUAAAAACAAAUAAUCAACGGUGACAUAUAUUGGCGGCCUUAUCGCUAAAAGCGAUCUCCUCCAGGCAACCUUGCAGGGAGAGGAAUUAGCGAACUGGACGGUGCUAUAUCAUAAUAAACUUAGAUAAAAAUAUAUACUUAUAUGUAUACACAUGUGAAAAAUAAAUACAAUAUAAGAUAGACUUACAUCGAUUAAAUACAAAUAAAUACUAAAAAUAUGCAAGUAAAUACAAAAGAAGUAGCAACUUGUAGUUAUAUCGUAGGAGUCAUAUUAUUGUGCAAGUUAGUGUGAUUUUAAUCUGAACUUGAAAAUUUCCGGCGAGGACGAUUGUUUGAUGCUUAAAGAUAGUGCAUUCCAUAAACGGACUGCUUCAACCGUAAAGGAAUGGUCAUAAAGUGACGACGUCCCGUGAGCCGGAAACUUCAGCAUUAAAUUCUGUACUGACCGACUUGACCGUGGCCUUGAUGAAGUCCUUCUUGUGCGCGAGGUCAAAGUCCGGGUAGUGGCUGUAGACCUGCUUGCAAACAGUCUUCAUAGUGAUCUGCUCGAGGUUCGCGCCCUCCAGGAUCUGCUUCACG